GGGAAAUAGCCUGGUGCUUAGAGUACCCGCCUCUGAAGCACAAGGCCCGGGUUCGACUCUUGGCA
rnacentral:tRNA from 11 species